UGAGAGGGCCGGUCAGCUGCGCUCGUAAGAGUGAGGAAAGUCCGGACACCACAGGGCAUGAUGCCGGGUAACACCCGGGCGCUGCGAAGCGACGGAAAGUACAGCAGAAAACAUACCGCCUCCGGUAGAUUCGGGCUUCGUGCUCAUAAUCUUCCGCAGGUAAGGGUGAAAAGGCGAGGUAAGAGCUCACCGCGUUUUUUGAGAAAAAAACGGCAGUGUAAACCCCAUCUGGUGCAAGACCAAGCAGGAAUCGUUAUAGGCUGCCCGCUGAAGAUUCCGGGUAGGUUGCUGGAUGCAGUCAGUAAUGACUGCACAAGAUAGAUAGCUGACUAUUACAGAAUCCGGCUUACAGGCUCUCUCAAUAU
rnacentral:RNase_P_RNA from 1 species